AAAAAAAAAAAAAAAAAAAACUUUCUUUUCGUUCUUUUGAUCACUUUUGGUAGUUGAUUUACCAGUAAAAAAAUUAAAGUGACAAUAACUGAAAAUUCCGGCUGAUAGCUUUCUGGAUUCCACCAAAAGAACAAGAUUUAUUUAUGUUCAGUCAUUGAAUUGAAAAAGGCACUAGAGGAAAGCAUAGAAUGAAUUUAUUGUGAUAGAUAAUAUUAAAUUCAGGCCUAAUGUAUUGUGAGGUCUUAUCAAUCAUGUGGUCCCUUACAAAGAAUACAACUAUCGUGCAGAACUUUG
rnacentral:lncRNA from 1 species